GAUCUAGCGUCAGUGGCUCACCCCCAAUCUAAUGGUCAAGCGGAAAGGGCAAAUCAAGAAAUUCUACGGGGUAUCAAACCAAGGCUUAUGGUUCCCUUAAAGCGGACGUCGGGUUGUUGGGUCGAGGAGCUACCUUCUGUGUUAUGGAGCAUCAACACCACAUCCAAUAGGUCUACGGGUUACACGCCUUUCUUCAUGGUUUAUGGAGCGAAGGCGGUUCUUCCUAGUGACAUCCGUCACGAUUCACCCCGUGUGGCAGCUUAUGUUGAAGCUGAUAAUGAGAAGGCACGUCAGGAUUCUCUGGACCUGUUGGAUGAAGAGCGGGAUCUUGCAGCAGCACGUUCGGCGAUUUAUCAACAAGAUCUUUGA
rnacentral:rRNA from 1 species